AUUGAACGCUGGCGGCAUGCCUUACACAUGCAAGUCGAACGGUAACGCGGGGGCAACCCUGGCGACGAGUGGCGAACGGGUGAGUAAUACAUCGGAACGUACCCAGUAGUGGGGGAGUAGCUCGGCGAAAGCCGGAUUAAUACCGCAUACGACCUAUGGGUGAAAGCGGGGGAGUCGCAAGACCUCGCGCUAUUGGAGCGGCCGAUGUCGGAUUAGCUAGUUGGUGAGGUAAAGGCUCACCAAGGCUACGAUCCGUAGCUGGUCUGAGAGGACGACCAGCCACACUGGGACUGAGACACGGCCCAGACUCCUACGGGAGGCAGCAGUGGGGAAUCUUGCGCAAUGGGCGAAAGCCUGACGCAGCGACGCCGCGUGAGGGAUGACGGCCUCGGUUGUAA
rnacentral:rRNA from 1 species